GCGACCAUGGCGGAACUGGUAGACGCGCAGCACUAAGGAUGCUGUGGGGCAACCCUUGGGGGUUCGAUUCCCCCUGGUCGCACCA
rnacentral:tRNA from 1 species